rnacentral:rRNA from 1 species
AUUGAACGCUGGCGGCAUGCUUUACACAUGCAAGUCGAACGGUAACAGGCCUUCGGGUGCUGACGAGUGGCGAACGGGUGAGUAAUGCAUCGGAACGUGCCCAAUCGUGGGGGAUAACGUAGCGAAAGUUACGCUAAUACCGCAUAAGCCCUGAGGGGGAAAGCAGGGGAUCGCAAGACCUUGCGCGAAUGGAGCGGCCGAUGUCAGAUUAGCUAGUUGGUGGGGUAAAGGCCUACCAAGGCGACGAUCUGUAGCGGGUCUGAGAGGAUGAUCCGCCACACUGGGACUGAGACACGGCCCAGACUCCUACGGGAGGCAGCAGUGGGGAAUUUUGGACAAUGGGCGCAAGCCUGAUCCAGCCAUGCCGCGUGCGGGACGAAGGCCUCGGUUGUAAACCGCUUCUAGCCGGAAGAAUACGCCAAGGCUAAUAUCCUUGGUGGAUGACGGUACCGGAAGAAGAAGCACCGCUAACUACGUGCCAGCAG